rnacentral:lncRNA from 1 species
AUGAAAUUAAAUUUAAAUAUUUGAAAUUGUAAAAAUACUAUUUUUACCUUUCCUUGUAAAACCAAAUUUUAAGAGUUAUUUCUUACAUUGAAUGUCAUCUCCCUUUCAUGUCAAAUCCUCCAUUCUCAAUUCAAAAUAACCCAGGACUCCAUUAGUUCUUCCAUCUUUUUUUCUCUACUAACAAUGAUAAUCUCUCAUUCUUCCUGAUGUCCACACUACACAAUCGGAAUCCCUAAGUUUAGUCUCCAAGCCUGUGUUUGUACUCUUUAGGCUUCAGUAUGUUCAAAAUUUAAUCUUUGGUUUAGAAUUUGUAAUUUUUUUUUAUUUAAAAUUUUGCAGAUUUUUAUGGGGUUGGAAAGUGUAGAUUUUCAUAAUAUAGUUUACAAAUGCAUUGAGUCCAGG